UCACUUUGGCACUGCAUAUAAUAAAAUUGGAAUGAUACAGAGAAGAUUAGCAUGGCCCCUCUGCAAAGAUGACAUGCAAAUUUGUAAAACAUUUCAUAGCUUU
ensembl:snRNA U6 U6 spliceosomal RNA